GUAUUAUGAAUUACCCACAUGAUUUUGAAUCACCUCAAAUGCUUGCUCUGCAAACUUCCCUACCUACCUCACUGGGUCGCUAGAAAGGAGAAAGUAAAUAAAAAUGGCAAGCGUUCUUUGAAGCUGUCACAUGGUAAAUAGUCAUUAAACAUAUCGGCAUCGUUUUACUAAAUACCGUCAUUACUUGCAAAAACAUUAGGAACACGAGAGCUGAGGAAAAAAUCGAUUACUAGCGGACAUUAAAAUUUUACGGGGCGAGGAGUAGGGGCGGAUUACAGGAGGGACGUGCCUAACCCAGGGAAGCGUGUGACCCCGCCGCUCCUACUUCCGGGACAGUCGGUGCUCCACGUCCACCCCCCCCCCCCCGGGACACGCUUCUGUUACGCUAGGCCUCCCAAGCGCCCCUGUGAGAAAUGAGAUCCGGGGUGGGUCUGGCCACGUUGCUCGCGCAAGGGCCCUGGAAGCCCAGUGAGGGCUCUGGGCAUCCCAGCCCCAGGCCCGCGGCCUGGAAGCCAAGUGCCAACAGGGAGCCGGAGGCAGGGCCCCGCUCACCCUACUCCCUCCCUCAGAGCGGUGCGGCCCAGGGGGUCUGCUUCCCAGGCCCGGAUAAGAAAACCAAGGCACAGAGAGAUGAAGUCACUUGUACGAAGUCCAACAGCAAGUGGUGGAAUCACCAUCAGAACCCAAGCCUUAGGUUCCAGAGCCACACACUUAGUCACUACGGUGUACUGACUCAAGUUCAUUAGGUUAAUCCUAAAGUGCCUGAGUUCCACAAUAGCCACCAACUUCGGGACUGCCGAGAGAAGGCAGCUAUCUCUGCCAGAGAAAAUGCAUUCCUGAACCUGACAUCUGGGUCUUGCAGCUGGAAGGAAGGAGGAGACA